rnacentral:rRNA from 1 species
GACGAACCGUGCAAACGUUGUUCGGAAUCACUGGGCUUAAAGGGCGCGUAGGCGGAUGAGCAAGUCUAUGGUGAAAUCCCCCGGCUUAACCGGGGAACUGCCGUGGAUACUGCCCAUCUCGAGGAAGAUAGGGGCGUCUGGAACUAGCGGUGGAGCGGUGAAAUGCGUUGAUAUCGCUAGGAACUCCGGUGGCGAAGGCGAGACGCUGGAUCUUUUCUGACGCUGAGGCGCGAAAGCCAGGGGAGCGAACGGG